rnacentral:tRNA from 1 species
GGGGCAUUGGCGCAGCUGGGAGCGCGUUCGCUUCGCAUGUGAAAGGUCGUGGGUUCGAAUCCCAUAUGCUCCAC